AUUGAACGCUGGCGGCAUGCUUUACACAUGCAAGUCGAACGGCAGCGCGGGCUUCGGCCUGGCGGCGAGUGGCGAACGGGUGAGUAAUGCAUCGGAACGUGCCCAGUAGUGGGGGAUAGCCCGGCGAAAGCCGGAUUAAUACCGCAUACGACCUGAGGGUGAAAGCGGGGGACCGAAAGGCCUCGCGCUAUUGGAGCGGCCGAUGUCGGAUUAGCUAGUUGGUGGGGUAAAGGCUUACCAAGGCGACGAUCCGUAGCUGGUCUGAGAGGACGACCAGCCACACUGGGACUGAGACACGCCCCGGACCCCUACGGGAGGCAGCGGUGGGGAAUUUGGGACAAGGGGGGCAACCCUGACCCAGCCAUGCCGCGGGGGGAAAGAGGGCCUUGGGGUUGUAAACCGCUUUUGUUGGGGAAGAAAUCCUGGGGGCUAAUCCCCCGGGGGGAGGAGGGUACGGAAAAAAAAAACCCCGGCAACCCCCGUC
rnacentral:rRNA from 1 species